rnacentral:rRNA from 1 species
GGGACACGUGGUAUCCUGUCUGAAUAUGGGGGGACCAUCCUCCAAGGCUAAAUACUCCUGACUGACCGAUAGUGAACCAGUACCGUGAGGGAAAGGCGAAAAGAACCCCGGCGAGGGGAGUGAAAAAGAACCUGAAACCGUGUACGUACAAGCAGUGGGAGCACGCUUAGGCGUGUGACUGCGUACCUUUUGUAUAAUGGGUCAGCGACUUAUAUUCUGUAGCAAGGUUAACCGAAUAGGGGAGCCGAAGGGAAACCGAGUCUUAACUGGGCGUUAAGUUGCAGGGUAUAGACCCGAAACCCGGUGAUCUAGCCAUGGGCAGGUUGAAGGUUGGGUAACACUAACUGGAGGACCGAACCGACUAAUGUUGAAAAAUUAGCGGAUGACUUGUGGCUGGGGGUGAAAGGCCAAUCAAACCGGGAGAUAGCUGGUUCUCCCCGAAAGCUAUUUAGGUAGCGCCUCGUGAAUUCAUCUCCGGGGGUAGAGCACUGUUUCGGCAAGGGGGUCAUCCCGACUUACCAACCCGAUGCAAACUGCGAAUACCGGAGAAUGUUAUCACGGGAGACACACGGCGGGUGCUAACGUCCGUCGUGAAGAGGGAAACAACCCAGACCGCCAGCUAAGGUCCCAAAGUCAUGGUUAAGUGGGAAACGAUGUGGGAAGGCCCAGACAGCCAGGAUGUUGGCUUAGAAGCAGCCAUCAUUUAAAGAAAGCGUAAUAGCUCACUGGUCGAGUCGGCCUGCGCGGAAGAUGUAACGGGGCUAAACCAUGCACCGAAGCUGCGGCAGCGACACUAUGUGUUGUUGGGUAGGGGAGCGUUCUGUAAGCCUGUGAAGGUGUGCUGUGAGGCAUGCUGGAGGUAUCAGAAGUGCGAAUGCUGACAUAAGUAACGAUAAAGCGGGUGAAAAGCCCGCUCGCCGGAAGACCAAGGGUUCCUGUCCAACGUUAAUCGGGGCAGGGUGAGUCGACCCCUAAGGCGAGGCCGAAAGGCGUAGUCGAUGGGAAACAGGUUAAUAUUCCUGUACUUGGUGUUACUGCGAAGGGGGGACGGAGAAGGCUAUGUUGGCCGGGCGACGGUUGUCCCGGUUUAAGCGUGUAGGCUGGUUUUCCAGGCAAAUCCGGAAAAUCAAGGCUGAGGCGUGAUGACGAGGCACUACGGUGCUGAAGCAACAAAUGCCCUGCUUCCAGGAAAAGCCUCUAAGCAUCAGGUAACAUCAAAUCGUACCCCAAACCGACACAGGUGGUCAGGUAGAGAAUACCAAGGCGCUUGAGAGAACUCGGGUGAAGGAACUAGGCAAAAUGGUGCCGUAACUUCGGGAGAAGGCACGCUGAUAUGUAGGUGAAGUCCCUCGCGGAUGGAGCUGAAAUCAGUCGAAGAUACCAGCUGGCUGCAACUGUUUAUUAAAAACACAGCACUGUGCAAACACGAAAGUGGACGUAUACGGUGUGACGCCUGCCCGGUGCCGGAAGGUUAAUUGAUGGGGUUAGCCGCAAGGCGAAGCU